rnacentral:rRNA from 1 species
AUACGUAGGGUGCAAGCGUUAAUCGGAAUUACUGGGCGUAAAGCGUGCGCAGGCGGUUUUGUAAGAAAGUGGUGAAAUCCCCGGGCUCAACCUGGGAACUGCCAUUGUGACUGCAAGGCUGGAGUGCGGCAGAGGGGGAUGGAAUUCCGCGUGUAGCAGUGAAAUGCGUAGAUAUGCGGAGGAACACCGAUGGCGAAGGCGAACCACUGGGCCUACACUGACGCUCAUGCACGAAAGCGUGGGGAGCAAACAGGAUUAGAUCCCCUGGUAGUCCGCGCCCUAAACUAUGUCAACUGGUUGUUGGGGAUUUAAUUUCUCAGUAACGAAGCUAACGCGUGAAGUUGACCGCCUGGGGAGUACGGCCGCAAGGUUAAAACUCAAAGGAAUUGACGGGG